rnacentral:tRNA from 1 species
GGCCUCAUCGUCUAACGGUUAGGACGGCUUUCUUUCAAGAAGCAAAUCGGGGUUCGAUUCCCCGUGAGGCCG